UCAUAAUGUCAACAAAUAGCAAGACAAAAGAAGUAACAUCUGUGCAUACAAAGCAGUAUUUCUUCAGUAACAUUGUCAGAACUUCCACAAUGGAGAACAACGAAGCCCCCUCACCGUCUGGCUCCAAUGCAAACGAUUUUCCCAUACUUCCGCCACCGCCAAACGCCUACAACAACAACAACUUUGCCGACCCGAACAACAGCAACAACAAUGCCGCAGCCCAGAAGCGCCUGCAGCAGACACAGGCCAAAGUGGACGAGGUGGUGGGCAUAAUGCGCGUCAACGUGGAGAAAGUGCUGGAGCGGGACCAAAAACUCUCGGAGCUGGGCGAGCGUGCGGACCAGCUGGAGCAGGGCGCCUCUCAGUUCGAGCAGCAGGCCGGCAAGCUGAAGCGCAAGCAGUGGUGGGCCAACAUGAAAAUGAUGAUCAUACUCGGAGUGAUUGCCGUGGUGCUGCUCAUCAUCGUUCUAGUGUCGCUUUUCUAUUGAUCCAAAAACAAAACACACACAAAAACCACAAAUUCCGUUUUCUACUAUACAACAAAGUUUAAGUUUCAUUCACACACACACAACACACACGUGUACAGUGUAGAUGUAUGCAUGUAUAUUGUAUAUUUAUAUGUAUAUUAAAUGUGUAAUAAUCGUCUAGGCUAAGCCAACUCCAAAACAAAUCUAAAGUAUCGGUCUGGCCCGAAAGCAGCGGCGGUGGUGGAGCCAAGUCCAUUACCGAACCUCUGCCCGUUACGGCGGCACCACCCCACUAAGGGUGCGCUCCUUGCAGUAAAUGGGAAAACAGCAGAACACAAAUGGACAUCAAACAUACCAGGGACAUGGACAUGGACAUGGACAGUGUGGCCUUCGCUGUGGACACAUCGCGCAAAUGAAAGUUAAUUCAAAAUGGAAACAAAAAUCAAAAAAAGGGAACACCCAUCUACACGUAUAUCUUAUAGCCAGAAUGUAAUUAUUAAAACCUUAAUGUUAAUGCAACAUUUUUUCACGAGACCACAGGUCUGUCUGUGUACAUGCUAGAGUAUAUACACAUUGAUAUAUAUGUGUGCGUUAUGUGCUCUGUAGCUGCUCUUUAUAUGUAUUAUUUGUAUGUCAGCCAAUUGGAAAUACAUUUAUGCCACACGUA